rnacentral:tRNA from 1 species
UACUCUGUAGCUCAGUUGGUUAGAGCACUGGCCUUUUAAGCUAGGGGCCGUCGGUUCGAGUCCGACCAGAGUAA